CCCCUAGAUGUUCUGGGCCGCACGCGCGCUACACUGAACAGUUCAACAAGUCUUAACCUUGGCCGAUAGGUCUGGGUAAUCUUUGAACGCUGUUCGUGAUUGGGAUAGACCUUUGCAAUUAUGGGUCUUCAACGAGGAAUUCCUAGUAAACGCAAGUCAUCAGCUUGCAUUGAUUACGUCCCUGCCCUUUGUACACACCGCCCGUCGCUCCAACCGAUUGAGUAAUCCGGUGAAUAGUUCGGACCGUCUUUUCUUGUGGUUCGCCACUCGUUAAGAUGGAAAGUUCAGUGAACCUUAUUGCUUAGAGGAUGGAGAAGUCGUAACA
rnacentral:rRNA from 1 species